AGUCGAACGGGACAUUUCGGGUAGCAAUAUUCGGGGUGUUCAGUGGCGAAAGGGUGCGUAACACGUAGCUACUUACCUUGAAGUGGGGGAUAGCUCGACGAAAGUCGAAUUAAUACCGCAUGUGAUGGAAACAUCAAAGUCGGGGACCGUAAGGCCUGACGCUUCAAGAUAGGGCUGCGGCCUAUCAGGUAGUUGGCGGGGUAAUGGCCCACCAAGCCUAGGACGGGUAGCUGGUCUGAGAGGACGACCAGCCACACUGGAACUGAGACACGGUCCAGACACCUACGGGUGGCAGCAGUCGAGGAUUUUUCUCAAUGGGGGAAACCCUGAAGGAGCGACGCCGCGUGAGGGAUGAAGGUCUUCGGAUUGUAAACCUCUGUCAUUCGGGAGCAAUGCUGUUCACCUAACACGUGAACAGUUGAUAGUACCGGAAGAGGAAGCUGUGGCUAACUCUGUGCCAGCAGCCGCGGUAAUACAGAGACAGCAAGCGUUGCUCGGAUUCAUUGGGCGUAAAGGGUCCGCAGGUGGUUCGUUAAGUCGGGUGUGAAAUCUCACAGCCUAACUGUGAUAGGUCAUUCGAUACUAGCGAGCUGGAGGACUGGAGAGGAGACUGGAAUUGCUGGUGUAGCAGUGAAAUGCGUAGAGAUCAGCAAGAACACCGGUGGCGAAGGCGAGUCUCUGGACAGUUCCUGACACUCAUGGACGAAAGCUAGGGGAGCAAACGGGAUUAGAUACCCCGGUAGUCCUAGCCCUAAACGGUGCUUACUUGGUGUGCGGGGAGUCGACCCCCUGCGUGCCGAAGCUAACGCGAUAA
rnacentral:rRNA from 1 species